UCUUUGAAAGUGUCGUUGAAGGAGAUCAUGUGACCAUCCUUCUCCGUAUCGACAAGCACUCCAUAGCAGUCGAAGAGAAGAGCAUAUGGGAGAUUCGCCGGAGAAGAUGAAGCAGAUCAAAUGAUUCCCCCGGAACGAGAUGCUCUCUGUAUUAUUCUAUGUUUUGCUUUGAGGCACUUCCCCAGGAAUCGCGACUUAGACGGAGAAGGUGUCGCGUUAAAGGCACGCGCCGCAUUAGGGAUGAAAGAUGCGGCUGAUAGCUUAGGUUGAGUUGAAGAAGAAGAAGAAGAAGAAGAUGGUGAAGGAGAUAAUUUCAGAGUCGCCAUUGUUUGAGUCUCUCUCUCUUUAUCAAUUUUUCUAUAUCCGUCUGCAGGGAAUUAUAACGGUCGGAGAUGUCUUUAACUCUAUCCGGUCUCGCGCUAACGACCACAUGAUAUAACCACCUGGUUCUGGUCGGGUUAGGGUAGGGUACUUUCCUAAUCAAAAACCGGGUUUGAUCUUUUUUGGUUCUACAAUUUUGUGCAGAAAACAUCUCGAUGAAGCUGGUAGGUAAUCAAUUUUUUUUUAUCGAAAGCUAAUAUCAAAAUGGUAAAUUAGGAUAUACCUGUUAUAGAAGACAAAAUUAACAGGACAUCUCAAUCAUCUUGUUUACAACAACUAUAGACAAACUUGCUAUAAUCAGUACGACCAAUCUAGAAACGCCAUCAAGCUCAUCUUGUAUCUCACAUGUAUUUCACGGACUCACACUAUUCUGAACAGGUCCGAUUGUGAUUUUAACUUUGUUGGCUUUAGAGGAUUUAUAGUUUAAUUCUAAAGAUUUUAAAGUUUGUGUUUUACCGAUCAGACUUUAAGAUUUCUAAAGUUCUAAAAGCUUUCCUAAAAAAUUUCAAAGACAAAAUAACUAAUUUUACUCUUAACUGACUUGUUUUUUUUUUCAAAGACACAAAUUUAGGCUUUUAACAAUUUCUAGAGCCAUUUUAAUUUUUUAAAAGCCAAAAGUUUUAACAUCUAAGGGCAAGAUUAUCGGUGUCCUUAGAGGGAUAUCUUAGCAAUUAAACACUCAUAAUUAAAUGAAAAAUAACCAAUAAAAACAAGGACGCCUCUUAAUUAAGAAGUUUUCGGUGUGGUCCUUACGAGCCACGUGUAGGUCUGAGAUUCACUUCGAAAACAAAUAGGUUCUCUCUCGAAGGCGAUUCUAGCGGCGACGAUUCGAGCGGCUCUCUCGACGGCGGUUCUCUCUCGACGCCACAUCUCUCUGGACGGCGCUUCUCUCUCAACGGUUCUCUUCUCGUUGAUUUUGAUCGCAGUCCAGAGGAUCUGUUGUUUCAUCCACAGCUUUUUCUGCGAUUCAAAGGUGAAUAAUCUACCUGUUUUGCUGAAGUUAAUAACUUCAUCGGGAGUAUCUUCGAUCCUGACAGCAAAGGCCGCAUGAAAAAGCUCAAGGAAAUGGAUCCUAUAAAUUUCGAAACUGUACUGAUAUUGAUGAGAAACCUCACAGUGAAUAUGUCAAAUCCUGAUUUCGAACCUUCUUCUGAUGUUGCAGAGGAAGGUUCAGAACACUUAAGCUCUUAGCUCUUGUAUGGGAUCUUUGGCCAAGAACCAAACAAGUGAUAUAUCUUUCUUGAUGGGCUUCUUGCUCACAACAACGUAACUGUGUAUAUCAACUGAUAUAUAUAUAUAUAUAUAUAUAUUUAUUUGUUCAUGCGUUUUGUAAUUUGUAGUUUUCUUUAUUGGUUAUUUUUUUGUCAUAUAUUGAAACCAAAGACAAUGUAUCAGCUAGCAAAUGCCACUAAAUUCAUAAAGAGACACAUGAGUCUGUUUGUAUCUUAUUAAAAAUCCUACCAAUAAUCAACUCUUUUGUGAUUGUCCUUAACUUUGUCUCUUACCAACCAAAAAUUAUUUAAAUAAGCUAGGGACUCAAAACUAAGGACAAUCAAUAAUGUUGCUCUAACCUAAAAUUAAAAGUCUCAACAGUAAAAGUGUUGAAAGUCAAAAACAAUCGGACUCAACAUCUGCCCCAUGUACCUGCAAUUCUAUUCUUAUGAAAAAUUGUUUUUAGUAUGACCAAACGUCCGUAAUGUAUCAACGCAUACAAAACAUUUGACUGGUCUACUGGUAAUGGAACUCUAACUAACCUGAAUCUAUGGCUCACGAACCAUUCCCUGAACAUGAUGCCCUGCGUAGCUAGGCUCCUGAUUAUUUCUCCAGACUUCCUAAUCCCAUUGACACAUCUCUUUAGAAUCAUGUGGAUCUUUAAAGUAGCUGAAUCUAACAAUUGCGUUUAUCCUCACAUUCAUUGAGCCAAACUUAGUGAAACAGUAGACACUGGACCUAAGAACUUCUCCAUUAUAUUUGUCUGAUGAAUAAACGAAGGGGAAGUUGGAGCUCUUAUGAAAAUAGAACGGCGACGCAAACGGGAUCACACUGGAAGUAGCCUCCAGAAAAAACCUUAGUGUUUUAUUUCAUCUUUGUGUUUUGGAUCUUCUCGCGCAUAACCAUUGCCUUGAUGUCUGGAGAUAAUCUUCUACAUUCAUUGUGACAUGCCAUCUUCAGACUCCUGCAGCAAUCUAUCAUUUAGCAAAAAUGCAGAAAUAUUAUUGUUAUUGUAAAUUUGAGUUUGGGUAAGCAGAAAGCGACCUGUAUAAUAAUGGAGUGCGGAGGUGGCAUAUGGAUUUUGAGACCAUCCUCUCUUUAUACAGAUAUCCGAAAAUGCAACAUUGGAAACCAAUACAAACCAAUAUAUACUCGUAUAUAUACUCACAGAUGCUAGUGUUUCAUAUAGUAUAGUUGAUGCUUUUCUUUCCACCUUGGGAACAAACUUGUUCCCAGUAGCUGAAAGGGUCUCUCAUCUCAUAAUUUGUCACCAAUAAACACUUUCGACUUUGAAACAUAUCCAUGGGAAUUUACUCAUCCUUUGAAUCAAAGUCAGCAAGAACAUAGAAAAAAAGAUUGGCUUCAAUACCUAUCACAAAUUAUAGUACCAAAACCUUGGCUCAAGAAUUGGAAAUCAAUACUUAAAAUAAAAGAUCAUGAUCGGAACUCACCAGAGUUAAGUUGCCAUCCAUAGGAUCAGGGGUCUUGUAGCGAAGCAGAUAGACAGUGGUGGUUUUGCACUGAUGAGAGAUCUAAAAUUCUUGCUCGAAUAUGAGAUCAAGAGAAAUUGGAGGAAUCUUCUUAGAGAGGUUUUCUUCGCCUCACCAAGGGUAACCUGAGACAGAACACGCCACAACAAUCAACACUUUAAGAAUCUUUCAAGAAAACACGUUGGUAUUGAUACAGACCUGAGCGACAUAGAACAUAUACCCAUCUUCUUGUUUGACAUUGUUGAUGGGCUUUCCAUGCUUAAUCUCAGUACCUACAUAAGAAAAUAUGUUAAAACAAAAGCUCACAGAAGAUAAUGUUUUGGAACUGAACACACUAUUAAGUAUUCACUUAUGACCAAACCAAAAGUCCAGUUUUAACACAAGACAAUGCUUAUAGAGAGGUUUCAAUACAGACUAAAGCAAUACAUGCAUAAGCAAUAAGAACAAAUAAGCUCGUGUAAACCUACAUUUAAAUCUCAAGGCGAAAAGAUUUAUGAAACGAUAUUCAUGACGGAAAAACAACAUGAUGGAAACGGUCAGUAGAAGAGGCCACACUGAUGUUGAAUAGAAGUUAUAAAGGGUUACUUUCAUAAAGACAU